rnacentral:lncRNA from 1 species
UUGGAGUUAUGGGGAAAUUUUGGAUGGUAAUUGAAGAUGACAUUGUGGGCUUUCCAAUGGUAUCAAAAUUCGAUAGUUUUGAUGGUCGAAAGUUGCCGAAAAAUUGCCUUAAAAGUCAUCAAAAAAUCUGAAAAUCUGGGCAGAUUUUCAAAAAUUUUGGGCAAAUUUUAAGGCAAUUUUUCGAUCGAAUUCCUUGGAGUUAUAAUGAGAUUUUGGAUGGUAAUUG